GCUGCUGAUUGGGUCACGGCGGCGUGGCGUCACCAGCGCGGAGCGGUGGGGGCGGUGAUGUCAUAGUGGCCGGCCGUAACAGAAGAAGUGAUUUUGCUGGGAUAAUACAGAGGCCAUGGCGUGGUUCCUGUCAGUAUUGAAAUGGGUGAGGACAGAUGACUUCAAUCUAUAGAGCUGUCAAACUACAACCUAAUGCCUUCCAAUCCCUUUUAAAGGUCUCUGGAAAAGAUGUGUGUCCUGUGUGAGAACUGUGGAAAAAAAAGGCAUCAUUAUCGAGGAAUCCUAAUUGUAAAUUGAACCACAUAAUUUCCUCCAU